rnacentral:rRNA from 1 species
UACAGAGGGGGCAAGCGUUGUUCGGAAUUACUGGGCGUAAAGCGCACGUAGGCGGACUAUUAAGUCAGGGGUGAAAUCCCGGGGCUCAACCCCGGAACUGCCUUUGAUACUGGUAGUCUCGAGUCCGGAAGAGGUGAGUGGAAUUCCGAGUGUAGAGGUGAAAUUCGUAGAUAUUCGGAGGAACACCAGUGGCGAAGGCGGCUCACUGGUCCGGUACUGACGCUGAGGUGGCGAAAGCGUGGGGAGCAAACAGG